rnacentral:rRNA from 1 species
UCCCGACUUCGGAAGGGAUGUGUUUAUUAGAUAAAAAACCAAUGCCCUUCGGGGCUUUUUGGUGAUUCAUGAUAACUUUACGGAUCGCAUAGCCUUGCGCUGGCGACGGUUCAUUCAAAUUUCUGCCCUAUCAACUUUCGAUGGUAAGGUAUUGGCUUACCAUGGUUUCAACGGGUAACGGGGAAUUAGGGUUCGAUUCCGGAGAGGGAGCCUGAGAAACGGCUACCACAUCCAAGGAAGGCAGCAGGCGCGCAAAUUACCCAAUCCCGACACGGGGAGGUAGUGACAAUAAAUACUGAUACAGGGCUCUUUUGGGUCUUGUAAUUGGAAUGAGUACAAUUUAAACCUCUUAACGAGGAACAAUUGGAGGGCAAGUCUGGUGCCAGCAGCCGCGGUAAUUCCAGCUCCAAUAGCGUAUAUUAAAGUUGUUGCAGUUAAAAAGCUCGUAGUUGAAACUUGGGCCUGGCUGGCGGGUCCGCCUCACCGCGUGCACUCGUCCGGCCGGGCCUUCCUUCUGAAGAACCUCAUGCCCUUCACUGGGCGUGCUGGGGAAUCAGGACUUUUACUUUGAAAAAAUUAGAGUGUUCAAAGCAGGCCUUUGCUCGAAUACGUUAGCAUGGAAUAAUAAAAUAGGGCGUGCGUUUCUAUUUUGUUGGUUUCUAGAGACGCCGCAAUGAUUAACAGGAACAGUCGGGGGCAUCAGUAUUCAGUUGUCAGAGGUGAAAUUCUUGGAUUUACUGAAGACUAACUACUGCGAAAGCAUUUGCCAAGGAUGUUUUCAUUAAUCAGUGAACGAAAGUUAGGGGAUCGAAGACGAUCAGAUACCGUCGUAGUCUUAACCGUAAACUAUGCCGACUAGGGAUCGGGCGAUGUUCUUUUUCUGACUCGCUCGGCACCUUACGAGAAAUCAAAGU